GACGAACGCUGGCGGCGUGCUUAACACAUGCAAGUCGAACGAAGAGCGACGGAAGCUUGCUUCUAUCAAUCUUAGUGGCGAACGGGUGAGUAACGCGUAAUCAACCUGCCCUUCAGAGGGGGACAACAGUUGGAAACGACUGCUAAUACCGCAUACGAUCUAAUCUCGGCAUCGAGGAUGGAUGAAAGGUGGCCUCUACAUGUAAGCUAUCACUGAAGGAGGGGAUUGCGUCUGAUUAGCUAGUUGGAGGGGUAACGCCCCACCAAGGCGAUGAUCAGUAGCCGGUCUGAGAGGAUGAACGGCCACAUUGGGACUGAGACACGGCCCAGACUCCUACGGGAGGCAGCAGUGGGGAAUCUUCCGCAAUGGACGAAAGUCUGACGGAGCAACGCCGCGUGAGUGAUGACGGCCUUCGGGUUGUAAAGCUCUGUUAAUCGGGACGAAAGGCCUUCUUGCGAAUAGUGAGAAGGAUUGACGGUACCGGAAUAGAAAGCCACGGCUAACUACGUG
rnacentral:rRNA from 1 species